UACAGAGACUGCAAGCGUUAUUCGGAUUCACUGGGCGUAAAGGGUGCGCAGGCGGCCAAGUGUGUUUAGGCGUGAAAGCCCGGGGCUUAAACCCCGGAAUUGCACCUAAAACUACAUGGCUAGAGCAUUGGAGAGGGUAGCAGAAUUCAUGGUGUAGCAGUGAAAUGCGUAGAUAUCAUGAGGAAUACCAGAGGCGAAGGCGGCUACCUGGGACAAUUGCUGACGCUCAGGCACGAAAGACCGGUGGGGAGCAAAAAGGG
rnacentral:rRNA from 1 species